CGCACAUUGCGCCCCUUGGUAUUCCAUGGGGCAUGCCUGUUCGAGCGUCAUUUGAACCCUCAAGCAUUGCUUGGUGUUGGGCGUCUGUCUACGCAGUAGACUCGCCUUAAAUCUAUUGGCAGCCGGUAUUCUGGUUAUAGAGCGCAGCACAUUUUGCGAUUUAGGCCUGAGAACUAGCGACCAUCAAGUUCAUUUACCUCGUUUGACCUCGGAUCAGGUAGGGAUACCCGCUGAACUUAA
rnacentral:misc_RNA from 1 species